GAGUUUGAUUCUGGCUCAGGAUGAACGCUGGCGGUAUGCCUUACACAUGCAAUCGUACGAGAGUUUUUAACUCAAGUGGCGGACGGGUGAGUAACACGUAAGAAUUUGCCUUAGGAGGGGGAUAACAACUGGAAACGGUUGCUAAUACCCCAUAUGCUUUUGAGUGAAAUGAUUUCCGCCUAAAGAGAAGCUUGCGGCUGAUUAGCUUGUUGGUGAGGUAAUGGCUCACAAGGCGACGAUCAGUAUCUGGUUUGAGAGGAUGAUCAGACACACUGGAACUGAGACACGUCCAGACUCCUACGGGAGGCAGCAGUGGGGAAUUUUCCGCAAUGGGCGAAAGCCUGACGAGCAAUACCGCGUGAGGGAUGACGGCCUAUGGGUUGUAAACCUCUUUUUUCAGGGAGGAUCAAUGACGUGUACCUGAAGAAUAAGCAUCGGCUAACUCCGUGCCAGCAGCCGCGGUAAU
rnacentral:rRNA from 1 species